AUAAAUAAAUAAACCUAAAAAUAAAAAAGGAAAAAGAAAUGUUAAAGGAAGUCCUUCAGGCAGGAGGAAGAUGAUACCAGAUAGAAACAUAGGUCUCCACUAAGGAAUGAAGAGCACUGGAAAAGAUGCUGAGAGUAUCUCCACAUAGUGAGAGUUUGGAAGUCCUGCCCUAAGCCUCACCUCAUCCCUCAUCUGGCCCUUCUUCCCUUGGAUGCCUCAUCUCCUUAUCCAUUCACAACAAGUGUUCUGAGUGUCCACCAUGCGCCAGACAUGCUUGAGUCACUAGUGACACAGACACAUGUGCACUGAUAACUACUUGGUCCUUGUCCUGCCAGAGGAGGGCCCACAUCCACCUCACCCAAUGCUGGAAAGGAGCAACCAGGGAAAGAUUGGCUUUUAUCACCUGAUAAACCCUGAUAUUGUCACAAAACCAUCAGUAAUUUUUCUCAUCUAUUCUGUAGGCCUGUUCAUCUUUCCUAAAAGUCAUUUGUUUUCCUUGUAAGUAAGUACCUUCUCCUCCUCUGCUUCUCCUAUUAAGUUGGUAUAUAAGCUCCCACAUUCUAAUUGCCUAGUACUUAAUAAAAAUCUUUUUUCUUGA